rnacentral:tRNA from 1 species
GGGCGGUUAGCUCAGUUGGUUAGAGCGUCGCAUUGACAUUGCGAAGGUCAGAGGUUCGACUCCUCUAUCGCCCAC